rnacentral:lncRNA from 1 species
UUCUGCUACCAUCGACCAUACAUUAGAUUGCUCUACUCUCUAUUCCCAUAUUAUCACUCACUGUUAUCUUACCUUUAAUAUUGUUCUUAUUCGAUUCUACUAUCUUUCCUAAUUACACUUAUCUAUCUAUCUUGGUUAAGUUAGAGCUUAGUUGGUUCCCCCAUUUCCCUGUGGAUACGAUAAAACCUUUGACCGGGUAAAAGCUAUAACGGUAUCCGUGCGCUUGCGGAUUAUCUGUGUGCGUAUAAAUACCAUAGUACACUCUAGUGCCAUGCUGG